rnacentral:lncRNA from 10 species
ACUUAAAGAGGACGGCAGAUCAAGAGCAUCUCAUCCUCCGGCUGCUGAGUCAUCCUGCUCUGGCAGUUAUUUAAACAGAAGGCUCCAGGAGACAUACAAUCAACACUCCACUCAGACAAUGCCCAGACCUCCAGAAACCAUGUGUCAAGCUCGGAUUGCCUUAGACAGAAGCUCACCCAGCUGGAACUCUUAUGGGACCUUGGCACCAGAGACCACAAAUUCCUCUUUGAAGUUUUCUAACAGCAACAAUGGUAUUUCUGACUUGGCUUUCUUGUAUUUCUCUCACGUUAACAAAAUUGGUUCAGCAUCUACCAUGGGCUACAUGCUGAGCUACAGGUAAGGUUUGGCUAAAGGAUGAAUAAGAACCCCUCCUUGUCUUCAGGAGUUUGUCUAGCAGAGGAGUCUGUCAUGUAAUCAGGAAACUCCAGUACACAACGUGAUAGCUCUAAGACAGGUAUAUACAAGAUGAUGUUCUGGACCUUAACUGUUUGGGGAGUACUACUGCCUUUGUCUAAAAGCCAUCACCCUUUUUAUAUGCCAUUUGGGAGGAACUGGGGGGACGUGGGAGGCUUCAAAGGGUUAUGGGAGGAUGGACAUUUUAAAAGGGCUUUUCUUUUCUUUUUUUUUUUUUGAGACAGAGUUUCGCUCUGUCGCCCAGGCUGGAGUGCAGUGGCGCGCGAUCUCGGUUCACUGCAAGCUCCACCUCCCGGGUUCACGCCAUUCUCCUGCCUCAGCCUCCUGAGUAGCUGGGACUACAGGCGCCCGCCACCACACCCAGGAAUCCAACUUGCUGUUUGCUAUCACAUGUGCUAUACAUGCUGUUGAUGAAACUGCUAAAGGGGCUGAAUGUGACUGACGUCUUUGGAAGGAUGAGACUUAGCGUGCCUGUACAGUUGUGUCCAAAUGCUGUCCUCAUCUCCCAAUGAAAAGGUAUUGUAAAUAAAGAGAAAGAUCAGAGGCUUAUUUUAAACACUAAAUAUGAGCUAGGAGCUGUCCUAGACACUAUGUAAAAGUUUUAUUUAGUUCUCACUGUAAUGUUGGCCUUAUGUUAGCAUCCCAUUUUUCAGACUGAGGAAAUUAUGGCUCAGAGAGGUUAAGAGACUUAUUGAAGGUCACACAGCUCCACAAACUUUGGUGUAGAUUGAACGUGUACAUGGGUCUAUGUGACUUUGAAUCUUGCAUUCUUUACAUUAUUGGAAUAUUUCACAGAAGGAAAAUGACAUAUUAACAUGGCAAUAAGAUUUCUGGUUCCAGUCUGGUUACUGGUCUUCCAAGAGUGUUAUAGGAUGUAUAGCCUGAGCUCUGAAGCUUUGUUCUGAAGCAUGCUAUCAAUAUGAACAAAUUGGUAUGGAAGGAAGCCACAAAUUAUAUACUAAAAUCUAGUUCAUCAGAGGAAAAUAUAGUUAAAUACAUUUACAUUCCCAGAACUGUUAAUAUUGAAGAAUAAAACACACAGUGGGAAAGAGACGAAGAGAAAAUACGCCUGUUUUUAUGACUUGUUGAUAUCUACAGGGUUUUUCCUUAAGCCUCACAACAAUUUACAGCAUUGCCAGCAGCAUUCAGUACAUUCAGAACAGGAUAAUUUCACCCGCAGCUGAACUAGGGCCAUGCCUGGGACAGACAGAGAAUGGCCUUCCAGCAGACAUGCCAAGAAGCAAGCCAGGGUCAGUGAGUGAAGAGGAGGGCAGGCCCAUUUGAAGCAACACAGUUUAUAUACAUGAAAAGAAAGAAGGAGAGAAGGAAGAAAGGAGGGCGGAAGGAAAGGAAGAAGGGAGAGAAGAAGAGAAGAAAGAAGCAGAGAAAGGAAGAGAAAAGAAAUUACGGCCAGUGCGGUGGCUCACGCCUGUAAUCCUAGCACUUUGGGAGGCCUAAGCGGGCUGAUCACCUGAGGUCAGGAGUUCGUAAGCCAGCCUGGCCAACAUGGUGAAACCCUAUCUCUACUAAAAAUACAAAAAUCAGCAGGGCAUGGUGGUGCGUGCCUGUAAUCCCAGCUACCUGGGAGGCUGAGGUAGGAGAAUCGCUGGAACCCGAGAGGCGGAGGCUGCAGUGAGUUGAGAUCAUGUCACUGCACUCCAGGCUGGGCAACAGAGUGAGACUCUGUCUCAGAAAAAAAAAAAAAGAAAGAAAGAAAGAAAGAAAGUUACCAUUAGUUUUUUGUUGUAUUUGCAAGCAAAGACAAAAGCACCAAGGUACUUGUUUCCUUCUGUAAUUAGAGUUUCAAAUAGACUAAAAGUUUCUGCUCUUAGGUGGGUCUAGAGACUCUCCAGUACCUCAGGACCUCAGGACACAUGGGGUCUCUUGGUUGUUUUCUUUUCAUUGUUGUUGUUUAUUUUAUUUUUGUUUUUAUUUUUUAACUUUAAAACAAUUUUUUGUAGAUGAAUAUGCUUACAUAUGUUUGGGGGUUUUUUUGAGACAGGGUCUUGCUCUGUUGCCCAGGCUGGAGAGCGGUGGUUUAACCACAGCUCACUGCAGCCUCGACCUCCCAAGGUAGGGACUGCAGGUGUGUACACUGGGGUGCACCACCACACCCAGCUAAUUUUUAAAUUUUUUUUUGUAGAUAUUGUCUCACUCUGUUGGCCAGACUGGUCUUGAAAUCCUGGGCUCGAGCAAUUCUCCUGCCUCGGCCUCGUAACGCGUUAGGAUUACAAGCGUGAACACCGCACCUGGCCAGCAUGUGGUCUCUUAACCAGAGGAGGCCUCUUCUGAACUAGGUAGAGGUCCUGAGAAUUGAUUCUGAGAGUAAAAGGCUCUUUGUUCUCCUCAGAGUAGAUUAGAAUCCCUAAUGAUAGAGCAUCUAUUAUUCCUCUAGUGGUCCAUGCCCAACAGAUUCAUCCAAGAAUAGAUGAAGAUCUUUGUAAUGUUGUGCAAGUAAUCUAAUCACCCCACAGAAGAGCUGUGACUUAAAUUAUCCCAGAGUCGGCCCACCUGUUUUCAUAAAGAUCAAUGUAACUUGUAAAUUUCUUCAGUUCUCCUCACCUAUCAUCAUUUGACUAACAAAACCCAGAAAACUAGGCUAGUUAUGGUGGCCUAUGCAUAUAAUCCCAACUCUUUGAGAGGCCAGGGUGGGUGGAUUGCUUGAGUCCAGGAAUUCGAGACCAGCCUGGGCAACAAAGGGAGACCCUGCCUAUAUCCCAGCUAUGCAGGAGGCGAGGCCAGAGGAUUGCCUGAGCCUCAGAGGUUGAGGCUGUAGUGAGCCAUGAUUGCCCCACUACACUCCAGCCUGGAUGACAGAGUGAGACCCUGCCUUAAAAAUAAUAAUAAUAGUAAUAAUAUUUCAUAAAGAUACAGGAAACUAGAUUAUAAUUGACAUUUUCAAAGUGAAAUACUGUCUAGAAUGGUGCUUGGCCAACAGUAAGCUUUUUGUAAGUGGAAGUCAUUACUACUACUAUUUCUUUCAUUAUUAUUACCAUUACUACUUUUUUUUACAAAAAAAAAACCCUGGACAACACACUGAAACCAUUACUACUUCUACUACUAUAACUUAGGUUGCACCUGAUAGAGCCAGCAAUUUUUCCAAGGUAUGACAAUGGCCAUAUGUUUAAUGAUAUAAUUCUAUGGCUCAGUGUAUCUCAGCCUUUUUAAACCCUGCUCUUCUUUUGACAAUUGUAAAAAUCUUAAACUGACCUCCAGUUGAAAUCCUCUGUCAAGAAGAUAUUGUCGGCCAGGGGCGGUGGCUCACACCUGUAAUCCCAGCACUUUUGGAGGCCGAGGUGGGAGGAUCACUUGAGGUUAGGAGUUCAAGACCAGCCUGGCCAACAUAGUGAAACCCCAUCUCUACUAAAAAUACAAAAAUUAGGCAGGCAUGGUGGUGUGUGCCUGUAAUCCCAGCUACUCAGGAGGCUGAGGUAGGAGAAUUGCUUGAACCUGGCAGGGCAGAGGUUGCAGCAAGCCGAGAUCACGCCACUGCUCUCCAGCCUGGGUGAGACUGUCUCAAAAAAAAAAAAAAAAAAGAAAGAAAGUAAGAAAAAGAAGAAAUCCCAAUCUCUUCUUUUAUGUGGAUUCUUCCUCACUUGAAUAAUACUUUUCUUCCCCAGUAUUCUCCAUAUUAUCCCAGAGUCAGCCCCUCUGUUUUUGUAAAGAUCUACGUAACCUCCUCUAAGUUUCCCAGUUCUCCUCACCUAUCAUAUCAUUUGGCUCAACAAAGGGCAGGAAGCUAGAUUCUAAUUGAUAUUUUGAGGCCGGGAGCAGUGGCUCAUGCCUGUAAUCACAGCACUUUGGGAGGCUGAGGCGGGCAGAUCACUGGAGGUCAGGAGUUCGAGACCAGCCUGGCCAAUAUGGUGAAACCUCGUCUCUACUAAAAAUACAAAAAAUUAGCCAGGCUUGGUGGCUUGUACCUGUAAUCCCAGCUACUCAGGAGGCUGAGGCAGGAGAAUAGCUUAAACCUGGGAGGAAGAGGUUGCAGUGAGCCGAGAUUGCUCAAUUGCACCCCAGCCUGGGUGACAGAGCAAAACUCCAUCUCAAAAACAAACAAACGAACAAACCUGAUAUUUUCAAAAUUGAGGCAAUUAUAACAGCUAUUUAGCCAAGCAUUAUGAUAGCAAUAAUAGCAAGAAAAUAAAUUAGUUAACAAAUGAGUCUCAGAAGCCCAAUGAUUUUUAUUUUAUUUUUAUUUUUUGAACUUUUAUUUUAGAAUCAGGGGAUACAUGUGCAGGUUUGUUACCCGGGUAUAUUGCAUGAUGCUGAGUUUUGGAGUAUGCAUGAAUCCAACCUGUCAUCCAGGUAGUGAGUAUAGUACCCAACAGAUAGUUUUUUUAACAUUUACUUCACUCCCUUCCCCAAUCUUGUAUUCCCCUGUGUCUACUGUUCCCAUUUUUAUGACUGUGCCAACAAUAAUUUUUUUUCUUUUUUCUUUAAAUAGAGAUGGGGGUCUCUAUUUAAAGAGCCUCCCAAAGUGCUAGGAUUACAGGUGUGAUCCAUUGCACCUGGCCCAUGCCAACAAUAUUUGAAACCCUUAUCUGCGUGUACAAGUUUGCUACUGGUUUUGUUUUGCUCAUUAAUACAUCCCAAGCAUCUAUACCUGGCUUGUAGUACCAGCAUGUAGUAGGUGCUUAAUAAAUAUUUAUUGAAUAAAUAAAUUAGUUUGACAUUAGUUUAACAUCUCAAGUAAAACAAAAUACCAUUCAAUUAAUUCUCUUCUUCUACUUUUUUCUUUUAAGAGAGACAAAUAGUCACACAUACAUCAGCAGGAGAGGAUACAAUUUCCUGUGUUUAAGUUUUUAUGAGUUACUUUAGUUCAAAUGUCACAGAAAAUUAUAUUGAACUCUUGACCAAUCUAUCUAUUUUUUCCAUUGGAGUAUUGACCCAAAUAAGAAAUAGCAUAAAGGAAAAAUUAUUUUUUGGCAGAAAAAUAUUCUCUCUAAAUUCUUGUGUGUUUUGUUUUGAUUUUUUCCUUAGUGACUGGAGGCCAGUUUCAAUCCACUGAAGCACAGAUUCCAAAUUUUCAAUCUGGUUUUCUUGAGUAGUGACUGAGUGCCAAAAAUGAAGCAAUGACACAACAUCACCAUCAAGACACUCCCCAGCACGCACACACAUGCCAGAGUCCAACACCAAGAUACUCCCCAGCACGCACACACACGCCAGAGUCCAGGCCAUAUUCGGGUGGCUUGCAAGCUUCUUCCCCCCAAGUAUUUACUCUCAAAAUAAUGGUUUUUGUUUUGUUUUGGUUUGGUUUGGUUUGUUUUUUUCCAAAUACAUUUCUUCCCUAUAUCUUUAACCAAUUCUCAUAAAAUUUUGUCUAAUACACUGGUCAGUGUAUUCCAGACCCUAAAAGAUAACAUAAUGAAACUAUCUAUGACUAAAAGGUAAUCAGGAUCUUCUACUUAUCCUUUUUUCCUCCCUCUUAAACUUUAAUUUUGAUACAUUUGGGAGUGAAAUGAUGACAAUAAAUGCAAAGUAAUUAUUGAAGAAACAGUAAUUUUGUAUUAGCUUACUGAAAAAAAAAAAAAAGAUAACCAAAUAUAUUUUGGCAGCCCCAAACGAGUCACAUGUGAAAUGCAGUGGGAGAGCAGUGUCCUGAAGGAAAAGGUGGCCUGCUGGACAGCCAAGAGAACAAACAUCCACUGCAAGUAAUAUGAGCUCUAAGUUUGGACUAGGCCUAUGUCUGCUCUGAGACUUGGGGCAAUUCACUUAAUCAGAGCCUUAAUCAGCUACGGACUAGCAAUAUCCAUACCCGCUACUUAUUUUGUAAAUCUCCUUUCUAAAGUUAACUCUAUUUAUUGUUCCAUAAUCCCAUAAAUUCUAGAAUCUUUUCCUGUUAUAGCCAAGUUGUCUAUCAUUGACAGAGAUAUUCACCUGGUUGUUUUGGCUUCUCUAAUCCUCCUGGUGAGAACACCUCCAAGGGAGCUUUCAGUGGCAUUUAAGGUCACUUGUGCUCUUGGUCCUAGAAACUGCCUUGAUAGUGGUUUUAGCUCACAUGAGGUAAGUCUUUAUUAUAUGCCCAACCUCUUUAUGCAUUACUUCAUUUAAUUGUAUACUAAUCCUUUGUCAUAGGUUAUCAGAGUGUUUGAUUAUAAGUUACAGGAAGAAAAAAAAAAACAAACUCCAAUUGACUAAAACAAUGGGGCAUUUUUUGACUCACAUAACAGAGAGUCUAGAGAGAAGGCACCUUCAGGUUUGGCUGAUGAAUCCUGUAUCUCUGCCUUGUCUCCAGGCCCCCAGGUUCUGCCUCUGUCCUGACAUCCAGUGUUGGAUUCCUCUUCACAUCAACUCCUCUCUGUAGGUUGGGCCAUCAGACCCUACCUCCUUAUUUAUGUUGAGCAAAGGAGAGAGAAUGCCUCUACAAACAAUGAAAAAAGUGAAAAAAAAAAUCUUUCUCCUCCUUAUAACUUUAGUUAGCUUAACUUUAGUCAGUUGCUUAGCUACUAAACAGUAGCUAUUGGGAGGUGGGAAGGAAUACUAUUGUGUAAUCAACUAAGGCUCAUACAGAGGAUUAGGGUUAUCUGAAUUGAUUUGAAUUAAUUAGAAUUUACUCUCAGAGCUGUGGCAAUUCCUUGAACCACACUGAUUGCUAUAAAGUGGAAGAGGAAUAGAUUGAAUUUUGGGGAGUCAACUACAAUGUGUACUACAGGAACAAAACCCAUCAGAAGAUGUCAGAAGAUAAGGAUUUUUGUCCUGAUGCUACACUUACCAGCUGUCCCUCAGUGUUCUACUUCUUAAAAAAAGAGAGAUGGAUAAACAGAGGCAACCCGAGGAUAAAGGCCUUGCUCAGUGUCACACAUUUCAGUCACUAAAUAAGACACAAUGGAUGCCAGUAUUCUCAUCCCCUCACAAAUAAAGAGCCUUCAAGCUCUUGCAGUCAACAAGAACUUUUGGAAUGAUUUCACUGCCUGAAAAGGCAGAUACAUAGGUGACACCCACAAAUAGGAAGAAAAUCAACCUGAACCUGAGUGUGUGGGCUCACUGACUCUAAGCAGUAGAGACAGAAGAAAAAGUUUUAGCAAAGAAGGGUUCUGAAAGAAAAUAAAUAUAGCUCGUUAUCAAGUGCUGUUUUUACACAGUAAAACAUGGGCAAAAUUACUCUUCUUUAAGUAGUAAUUCUUAUCUCUUGAUUAAGUCACCUACUCAUUCAUUUAAUAAAUACAUACUGAUUGUUUUCUAUGUGUUGAGCACUCAUCUCUGUAUUGGAAAUAUAAUAAUGACCAAAGUUGACAAUAGUAAUAACAAUAAUAGCUAAUAUAGCAGGCACUAAUAAUUAUUUGUUGAGUAAUAUGUCAAAAUUCAGUGUGAACAGCAUUCUAUUUGGGGCUGCAUCCACUGACUAUAACACAGCUAAUCUAUCUGAAAUGUUCCAGCUUUGGGCCUCUCUAACAGAAGAAGCUGUUGUUGGGCCUGCCUCUAGUUGGCGAUGCAUCCACCAAUGAGAAUGAAUUUAUGAUCGACCACUCUUCCUGUAAAGGCCGCUGGAACUGACAGCAUUGUGAUUUUCUUUUACUGUUAGUUUUAAAUUACUAGAACCAACUCAAUUACUAGAACGAACUUUACUUCUUUGUUUCCUACUUAUCAAAACAGUAAAAACAACAAGUAAAAGAAAUGCCAUCUUAAUAUUGUUUUGAUGACAAAACAGUAUUCCUUUUAGUUGUGCUUCAAAUGGAAUAAGAUGCAAACAGGCUUGGUAUGGUGGCUCACCCCUGUAAUCCCAGCCCUUUGGGAGGCCAAGGUGGAAGGAUUGCUUGAGGCCAUGAGUUUGAGACCAGCCUGCGCAACAUAGCAAGACCGUGUCUCUACAAAAAAUAAAAAAUUAGCUGAGUGUAGUGGUGUGUGCUUGUGGUCCCAGCUACUUUUGAGGCUGAGGAGGGAGAAUCUCUUGAGCCCAGAAGGUCGAAGUUGCAGUGAGCCGUGAUCGUGCCAUUGCUCUCCAGCUUGGACAACAAAGCAAGACCCUAUGUCAAAAAAUAAAUAAAUAAAAGACAUAAACAUAUCUGAGAUUAACUUUCAGUGGUAAAUUUGUUCCAUAUAUGAUUUUUAAGGUUAAAUGCUUUGGAAGCUUUAAAAACCAUUUCAGCCCUUUUAAAUGCCAACUUACACUGAUGAUGCUCUCAGAUGUUAGGAAAUCUUUUGAGCAGAAAAUGGAAGUGGGGGUGUUGAGGCAGGGAGGAGAGUGAUGCAAUAUUCCUUAGUGUCAUCCUGUGAUUUCACAAUUUGUUUUUCAAUCUGUUUGGACUUUCAAAAGGGAAGACUCUCAUAUGUCAACAAGCCCAUGAACUGAAGCUUAAAACACUGGAAACAACAACUGUAGAGUUUCAAGUAUAUGUACAUUUAUGUAUUCAUGUUCCUUGAUGGGAAUGCUGGCUGGUGUGAAUGUUCAAUCUCCUGAGAAAUGUAAAUUUUUCUCUGACAGAUUUAUUAGCUUGCUGUAUCUGAGCACAUGAGCAAAAACAAUGCCUAAUAAGAAAACUUUCUCUCUCCUUCAAAGUCAAACUUGGGAGAAAUGAAGGGAAAUCGAGUUUUCUUUGCUUGACAGUGUUCAACAUUCUUGUAGUCAGUGUGCUCAUGAAGAUUGCAAACUUUUUUUUUUUUUUAGAGCAGCUAGGACUACAGGCGCGCACCACCACACCCAGCUAAUUUGUGUAUUUUUAGUAGAGAUGGGGUUUUAACUAUGUUGGCCAAGCUUGUCUCAAACUCCUGACCUCAAGUGAUCCAUUCGACAGCUCUUUCUUUUUUUUUUUUUUUUUUGAGACAAAGUCUCGCUCUGUCACCCAGGCUGGAGUGCAGUGGUAUGAUCUCAGCUCACUGCAACCUCCGCCUCCUGGGUUCAAGCAAUUCUCAUGCCUUAGCCUCCCGAAU